AGUCACUGACAUUAGAUACCCCCGUAGUCCAGGGUGUAAACGCUGCAGACUUGGUGUUGGGAACCCUUCGGGGGUGCUCAGUGCCGGAGAGAAGUUGUUAAGUCUGCUACUUGGGGAGUACGUCCGCAAGGAUGAAACUUAAAGGAAUUGGCGGGGGAGCACCGCAACGGGAGGAGCGUGCGGUUUAAUUGGAUUCAACACCGUAAAACUCACCAGGGAAGACUGUUACAUGAAAGCCGAGAUGAAGACUCUGCUAGAUUUUCAG
rnacentral:rRNA from 1 species